ACCUUCGGUCACUGUUAAUGGUGACGGGAUAGACAACGACUGUGAUGGCCGAACGGACGAGGAGUUGUGUACACCGGAUAACAACCAAAACGAUGACGAUGGCGAUGGAGUGUCAGAUGAAGACUGUGUUCUUCCUCCGCCUGUUCAUGGAGUAUGGGAAACGUGGGAAGAAUGGUCCGAAUGUAACACGACGUGUUCCACCAGCGGUUCACCAAUAUCUCACGG